GCCGAAGUGGUGAAAUUGGCAGACACGCAUGGUUCAGGGCCAUGUCCCCGCAAGGGGGUGGGGGUUCGACUCCCCCCUUCGGCA
rnacentral:tRNA from 1 species